rnacentral:rRNA from 1 species
GACGAACGCUGGCGGCGUGCUUAACACAUGCAAGUCGAACGGAAAGGCCCUGCUUUUGUGGGGUGCUCGAGUGGCGAACGGGUGAGUAACACGUGAGUAACCUGCCCUUGACUUUGGGAUAACUUCAGGAAACUGGGGCUAAUACCGGAUAGGAGCUCCUGCUGCAUGGUGGGGGUUGGAAAGUUUCGGCGGUUGGGGAUGGACUCGCGGCUUAUCAGCUUGUUGGUGGGGUAGUGGCUUACCAAGGCUUUGACGGGUAGCCGGCCUGAGAGGGUGACCGGCCAAAUUGGGACUGAGAUACGGCCCGGACUCCUACGGGAGGCAGCAGUGGGGAAUAUUGCACAAUGGGCGGAAGCCUGAUGCAGCAACGCCGCGUGCGGGAUGACGGCCUUCGGGUUGUAAACCGCUUUCGCCUGUGACGAAGCGUGAGUGACGGUAAUGUGUAAAGAAGCACCGGCUAACUACGUG